GCCUGUACCAAGGGGCGUCCUGCAAAGGGCUGAGAGACCGCUGGCGCGGUGACCCUUCGAACCUGAUCCGGAUCAUGCCGGCGAAGGGAUGGGCGCAAGCACCUGC
rnacentral:ncRNA from 1 species